AGUAGAUGCCCCUGUAGCUCAGUGGUAGAGCUCCUGUAUGUGGUAGCGAAAGCGCCUAGAAUACCUACAAGGAGGUCGCAGGUUCUAAUCCUGCCCUGUGGCUA